rnacentral:rRNA from 1 species
GACGAACGCUGGCGGCGUGCCUAAUACAUGCAAGUCGAACGCAGUGGGGACGGGUGAGUAACACGUGGGUAACCUCCCAUCAGAGGGGAUAACACUUGGAAACAGGUGCUAAACCGAUACUGAUGGAUGGACCCGCGGUGUAUUAGCUAGUUGGUGAGGUAACGGCUCACCAAUGCCACGAUGCAUAGCGGACCAUGUAGGGUGAUCGGCCACACUGAGAAUGAAACACGGCCCAGACUCGUAAGAGAGGCAGCAGUAGGGAAACUUCGACAAUGGACGAAAGUCUGACCGAGCAACGCAGCGUGAGUGAAGAAGGUUUUCGAAACGUAAAAAUCUGUUGUUAGAGAAGCGGUAUCUAACCAGAAGGCCACGGCUAACUACGUGCCAGCCGCCGCGGUAAUAC